rnacentral:misc_RNA from 1 species
ACAAAUCCAAUAAUUGUGAGAGGGGGUAAAACCCUUUUUGCAAAUAUUAAACCCGCCGGUUCUUUUUUUAGGGCUGGUUGGCUAAAUAAAUGCGUGUUGUGUUGACAGUGUGUGUGUGAGUGACUUAAAUUUAUUGA